rnacentral:rRNA from 1 species
GACGAACGCUGGCGGCGCGCCUAACACAUGCAAGUCGAACGGAGCCAAUCUGAUGAAGUUUUCGGAUGGAAUCAGAGGAAGCUUAGUGGCGGACGGGUGAGUAACACGUGAGCAACCUGCCUCUAAGAGUGGGAUAACAUAGGGAAACUUGUGCUAAUACCGCAUAAAGUAUAUGUACGGCAUCGUAUAGAUACCAAAGAUUUAUCGCUUAGAGAUGGGCUCGCGCCUGAUUAGAUAGUUGGUGAGGUAACGGCUCACCAAGUCGACGAUCGGUAGCCGGACUGAGAGGUUGAACGGCCACAUUGGGACUGAGACACGGCCCAGACUCCUACGGGAGGCAGCAGUGAGGGAUUUUGCACAAUGGGGGAAACCCUGAUGCAGCGACGCCGCGUGCAGGAAGACGGUCUUCGGAUUGUAAACUGCUGUCGUAAGGGACGAAGAUGACGGUACCUUACAAGAAAGCUCCGGCUAACUAUGUGCCAGCAGCCGCGGUAAUACAUAGGGAGCAAGCGUUGUCCGGAAUUACUGGGUGUAAAGGGAGCGUAGGCGGGAAGGCAAGUUGGAUGUGAAAACUAUGGGCUCAACCCAUAGACUGCAUUCAAAACUGUUUUUCUUGAGUGAAGUAGAGGCAGGCGGAAUUCCUAGUGUAGCGGUGAAAUGCAUAGAUAUUAGGAGGAACACCAGUGGCGAAGGCGGCCUGCUGGGCUUUUACUGACGCUGAGGCUCGAAAGCGUGGGUAGCAAACAGGAUUAGAUACCCUGGUAGUCCACGCUGUAAACGAUGAUUACUAGGUGUGGGGGGACUGACCCCUUCCGUGCCGGAGUUAACACAAUAAGUAAUCCACCUGGGGAGUACGGCCGCAAGGCUGAAACUCAAAGGAAUUGACGGGGGCCCGCACAAGCAGUGGAGUAUGUGGUUUAAUUCGAAGCAACGCGAAGAACCUUACCAGGUCUUGACAUCCGAUGAAUAGCAUAGAGAUAUGUGAAGUCCUUUGGGACAUCGAGACAGGUGGUGCAUGGUUGUCGUCAGCUCGUGUCGUGAGAUGUUGGGUUAAGUCCCGCAACGAGCGCAACCCUUAUGUUUAGUUGCUACGCAAGAGCACUCUAGACAGACUGCCGUUGACAAAACGGAGGAAGGUGGGGAUGACGUCAAAUCAUCAUGCCCCUUAUGACCUGGGCUACACACGUACUACAAUGGUGUAUAACAGAGGGAAGCGAAGCCGUGAGGUGGAGCAAAUCCCAGAAAAUACAUCUCAGUUCAGAUUGCAGGCUGCAACUCGCCUGCAUGAAGUCGGAAUUGCUAGUAAUCGCAGAUCAGCAUGCUGCGGUGAAUACGUUCCCGGGCCU